rnacentral:tRNA from 1 species
GCCCUCAUGGCUCAGUGGUUGAGUGUUGCCCUAUGAAGCAGGAGAUCCUGGUUCGACUCCAGGUCAGGCCA